rnacentral:lncRNA from 1 species
UAGUGUUUGCUAAAACUUACUGAGAAAAAUUGAUCAUUGGCUACUGUGGUCGUUUGUUACAAUUUAGAUAAAGCACAUCUAUGAUCUUCAUACAAGGAAGGACCAAACCUGAGAUUAAUAGCUUUUAAGAACCCUUUCCAAGAUUCAUUGAAACCAUUGGAAUGCAUCCAUUUUAGCCAAGAGCAGGCCCUUCCAAAUGAAAAGAAGAGAUCAUGACCCUUUAAUUUUCAGGAGUAUUGUAAAAUUGAAAAUUUGCUCCAUCUUGAAUAUCCAACUGGAUACAUAUAUUCCAUCAAAGUGAGGUACUUCAAUUUUCAUGGAUUGAAAUUGAUAAUUUUUGUGGUUGUGGUUGCUGAAAGUAGACAUAUUGGUGGGAUUAUCUUCAGGAGUAUGCUGUGGAUGAUUGGAUACAUCUAUGAUUCUCUAAUCAACAGCAUGCAUGAAUCUUGCAAUAGGAUUGUUAGAUCACAAAUUUGAACUUCAGUUUCCUUCCUAAACUCAUUUAGAUUCUUGAUAGCCUCAUCUGUCUUUGAAAAUCUAAUACCUUCAGCCAUUAUAGAAGGAAUGGAAUGAAAGCACCAAUAUUAUGUUCAAGGUUCUCUGUGAGAGAACUUGCAAAUGAAAAUGAACAGAAAAUGAUGGAAAUCUCUAUUCGAACUAGAGAAUUGGCUCCUAAAAGAAGAUACAACUAAUUUUUCAUAUCCUUGUUUAGUUUACAAUAAUGUUUAUAUACAUUCUAUUAAGAAUCCUCCCUGCAUAACUUUUGGAACAGAUAUCUAACUACUAACUGCCUCUUUAACAAACUAACUAUUACUUAACAACUAGUUGUUAUUUAACAGAUUUAACUACUUGCUAACAACCCUUUGACCUUGUUUUCAUUUGUCUCUAUAUUAUAUACUACUUCAUUCAGCUUGGUCUUUUUCUAAUUAUCUUCAUACUGUCAUUACCUGCUCUGCUAGCUCUAUUUAUAUUGUUAGCCUCAAUUCAACACUUAGUGGAGGGGUUUUCGAAUGAAGCAACAUUAUGUGGGAAGAUUUAAAAAUUCAACAAUUUGUCCAAGAUGUUCACUCGAAGGAGAAGAGAUGAAAGAUUAUAUGAAAAAAAAUCAGUCAGACAAGAAUAAAUGCACAUGAUAAAAUUUUGAUGAUGAUGGACCAUGAUUAUCGGAAGAUGAAGAAGUAUAUUGUGGGACUGAUUGCGUGAAAAAAUUAUUCGAGAGCAGCCAAUCUUUUAUUUCUUUUCAGCCAAAACAUAAAAAAAACCAAAAACCUAAAGGUCUCAUAGACCACAUUCUUCAUACCUAAUCCUGAUGUUUGUUGGUACCAAAUCGAGAAAAAAAAUAGACUAAAAUCCAAUGCAAUUCUCAUACAAGUAGACUUAUAUAGCUUUCGAUCAAGGAAGGCGCACGCCUCGCUUGCCGCCUCCACCUGAGGCUCUGCAGACUUUUAUAUCUCGGUGCGCCUCGCGCCUCUAACUAUUGAAAAAAUUAUUCGGCAAACACAGAAUUCCAAAGAAAAAUUUCAUUGAUCACAAUAAUAUACAGUAAAUAGAAUUUACAAAAAAUAAAUACAGAAAUUAAAUUAAAAGAAAUACAAGCAGAUUUAGGCCAAGUCCUACAAACGCAAUCUCCUUAAGAAAGAUUCACCGCCUACCGAGGGUGUUGUAGGCUAUUGUCAACGUCUUUCUUCCAGAAUAAAACGGCUAGAACUACUAAUUUUAGAACACCUCCGAAGCAGCCUUGGCUGAGUUGGUAUAAAACUAUAAUUUUUCUAAAAAUCUGAAUAUAACUGUAAUUAUCCAAAAUUAGGGAUAAAACUGUAAUUUUUAGAAUCUAGGUUAAAACUAUAGUUUCCAGAAGCUGGUUAAAAUUUGUAAUUUUCCCUAAAAACUGGGUAAAAUUUAUAAUUACAGUAAAAAUUGUGGUCAAUCUGUAAUUACUAAAAUUCUUGAGUUAAUUUAGCAAUUAUAAAACUAUUUUGGGUUAAAACUAUAAUAACUGAAGGUGAAAAAAUUAAUCUUCUGGAAAGCGAAACAAAAUAGUAUUUUUUUUUUCUUCAAACUAAAAUCUUUUUUUUUUUCUCUCUCUGUAACAGAAAAUCAUAAAGCAUAAAAUUAUAAUUGUUUUUUUUUCGAUUAUUAGAUUACAGAAUAUAAGUUUACUCAGAAAUUGUUUCAAGUGAAUAAAUCUGAAGCAUAAUUAUUUCAGAACAGUUUUAAAGCAAUUUUAAAACAACUGUUCUAAAAAUCUUAUCACAAAUCUGUUAUCUUGGUUGUAUAUUACAACCCUGUUUCUUUCUUGAAAUUACAAACAAAACAGAACAAUAAGCGUAAUCAGCCAACCAAAUAAAAAAAAUCUAAAUAACAUAAAUAAGCUAAUAAAACAUCAAAUACCCAUCACAGAUAUGGAUAUCUAGUCAUAGCUAUCAAACUAUCACAAAAACAGAUGCAAGAGUAACAAUAUAUCACAGUAAAUCAAUGUCAAGAGAGGCCACGAACUGAG